CGAUCGGAGAGAAUAGAAGACGAGGAUAAAGAGGAGAGGAAGAUGGGAGGAAACAGAGACAAAGAGACAAGGAGAGAGAAAAGGAGGAGAGAUAAAGAAAGAGCGACAGAUAGCGUCAGAUCAAGAGAAAGGGUGAUGAGAGAAACAGAGAUGGUGAUAGAUAGAAUGACGCUGGAAUAAUCAGCAUGAACGUUCUAGCUCCUCUGGGCUCCGAGCCACCUGUUGGAGCCCUAACGACAUGCAGAGCUAGCAUUGGAAACCAAUACAAUGCCGUACCCACCGGGUCCCCAUCAACGACCGGUCAACGCCGGGAAUCAAUAACCAAUCAGAUUCACUGUAACGCCGACGCCACAGCCACCUGGUGACCAGGACUCG
ensembl:lncRNA